GCCUGCCUAGCUCAAUCGGAUAGAGCGUCAGACUUUUAAAAACCAGACGGCUUUGUAUACACAUCUGAAGGCUGUGGGUUCGACCCCCACGGUGGGCU